rnacentral:lncRNA from 1 species
ACAGCUUCUCCAACUGUGAGGUAGAUAUUCUUUUCGCCGAUGAGCUCGGUGAAUUUCGCCAGCUGGAGCUUCUCGAUCACGGCUGGCCCCGGAUUGGCAAGAACAAGCUAAGGUGACAAUUGCGAAUUGUAUAUAUAUGUUAACUCACAAACUAUAGUAAGUAGUAAGUACUAACAUUUUUUUUUUUUUUCUCAAAAAAAAAGUAAGUACUAACAAAUUUUUAGUUUCUACACACAUGAUUGAAUCAUAGAACUACUAUAUAUGCCUUUUAGAAGCGCGAAGGCUAUUAUAACAACAUUCCAUGGUUUUCGAAAAUUAUCAACAUUCAACUUCAUUUGGAUUCAUCUAUGUCACGUAUAGGCUCCUUAACUUUUCAAUUUUGCGAUGAAUUAAGCCACAGGAUAAAUGAUAUAUAUCGAAAAAUCUUGAAAUUCAGUCUCUAAACAUUCAACAGUAUGGAUUGUCAGUUCAAAUGCUCUAUCAUUCUUUGUGCUUCUAAAAGUAUAUAUAGUGGCCUCGUUCCAGUACUGAUUUAGUUUUAAAGAAGAGUGAGUUUAUCUUUUCCCCUGCUAACCUGAACGCUGCGCUUUCGGAGGAUAGUAUGUAGCUCCUCAAAGCCAUGAAUACCGGUUGUGUCGAUCUCGGUAACCGCUGUAAAGAGUAGUACAAAGCAGCAGAGUUUACUCACUUGAACAUAAGUAUAGAUCAAUUAAACUAACAAGAAUUAUGGAAAAAAGCGAUGCUUGUCUUACGUGACAACUCCACGAUCAAGAACUCGAUUCUCGGAAGGUUUUGCUCUUUGAUUCUAUCUUCCUCAUCUCUCAGCCAUCUUAGAAUUCUGCAAGGAUAAAAAAAAAAAUUGCAGUACAUGCUUUAUCUUAGCAUAAUGUUAAAGCUAAUCCUAUUACGUUAAAGCUAAUCUAAAAAGGAGAAAGAUAGUAUACUUAUUAUGUCAGUUUUUUAUGUACAAAAAGAUUACGAAUAUUGAUUUUAAUAAAGCUAUGUACAACCGAACAUCUCUGACUUAGUAAUAUAUGGAGUCAAUUUAGUGCCUGAACUUAAUUUUUAUUCUCUGAACUUCCUUUAUACUGAAAUUUGAUUCCUGCCCUGAGAAAAAUGUUUUUAAGUUUUUCUGACAGAGUGACCAUCAUACCUCUUCUGUAGAUUGACUCUUUAAUUUGCUUGGCUACAAUUGAAACAGGGUUAAAAUUAAAGAUCAUUUUAUAGUUGAAAAGUCAUGUGUUGUCAUUUGUUUUUUUAGCGAUCCGGGAUGGAAUUACAUCAUUUGAGAACUAAGUACUAAUAUUAGGAUAAUACAGUGAUUAUCCAUGCAUUUUACCUGAAAAAAAAGGAAAAUGUAUAGCCAAGAUGAGAAACCGAGCUGUUACCUCUCCUUUAUAUAGUUGGAAUUGUUGAAAUAGAUCGCAGAAUCCACUCUGACAACCACAACUCCUGGAACUUUGGUCGCCUCGGGGUAUUGAUCGACAUUCCUAUAUAUAGUGGUCCUCGGAAGGUUUCCGAGUAAAACCGUCCUUGGCCUUGUUACUUGAAGAAUUAUCUUAGCAACCGAUAUCGACACCUAUUCAGCAGAGGAAGAACAAAUUAUAUUCCUUUCAAGGACUUAAAUGAACAUAUGUUUGGUAAAUAACCAGAUUCUUACAGCAAUUAGGAGACCGAUCUCGACAGAGAUGAAAAUAACUCCGAAGAAAGCUCCCAUGCACGCAAUAAAGUCCAACUUAUCGCAUUUCCAGAUAAGGUAUGCACCUUUAAUGUCAAUCAAGUUAAGUACGGCCGAAAUAAUGAUCGAUGCGAGGAUUGCAUUCGGGGUGUAUUUGAACAAAGGAGUGAUCAGUAACAAUGUGAGUAAUACGACUAUCGACAUCACUAUAUUGGACACUGCUGUGCUACAACCAGCCAUGAAAUUGACCGCGGAUCUUGAGAAGGACCCUGCAUACAAAACCACCCCUUUUGUUUUAACUCACGACACUAAAUUUUAAUUUUACAGUAAUAAUUUUCUAGUCAUGGAGUGCAGUUUAUUGUAUCCAUCGAAGUAAACUGGAAAAAUUUACCUGUUGCUAUGUAGCAAGAAGUCAAAGAACCGAUGAUAUUCAUCGUUCCUAGCGCGACCAUUUCCUUGUUUCCGUCAAUUUGGUAAUCCUUCAUUGCGGCAAAUGUUCUACCAAUUGCUAUUGCUUCCUGAUAAGUUUUAAUAGUUUAGUCCAAGUAAUACAUAUCUGUAAGUUGUUACUGAAACACUAAAUUUUGCGUUUAUAUUACAGUCAAGGCCACCAUUCCAGCUACCGCGCCGAUUCUGAAUCCUUUUCCAAGAUAUGGACCAGUGAAGUGAAUUUUAUGAACCGACGACGGAUUAACACCCUUCCUUAUGUCUUUCACCUG